AUUGAACGCUGGCGGCAUGCCUUACACAUGCAAGUCGAACGGUAACGGGCCUUCGGGUGCCGACGAGUGGCGCACGGGUAAGUAAUACAUCGGAACGUGCCCGAUCGUGGGGGAUAACGAGGCGAAAGCUUUGCUAAUACCGCAUACGAUCUACGGAUGAAAGCAGGGGACCGCAAGGCCUUGCGCGGACGGAGCGGCCGAUGGCAGAUUAGGUAGUUGGUGGGAUAAAAGCUUACCAAGCCGACGAUCUGUAGCUGGUCUGAGAGGAUGAUCAGCCACACCGGGACUGAGACACGGCCCAGACUCCUACGGGAGGCAGCAGUGGGGAAUUUUGGACAAUGGGCGCAAGCCUGAUCCAGCCAUGCCGCGUGCAGGAUGAAGGCCUUCGGGUUGUAAACUGCUUUUGUACGGAACGAAAAGCCUUCUUUUAAUACAGGAGGGUCAUGACGGUACCGUAAGAAUAAGCACCGGCUAACUACGUG
rnacentral:rRNA from 1 species